UGCACUUAGGCAUGUUUCUGUUGAACUUACAGACAAAAACUGAAAAUGGGUGCAUAUGAUAAAUUCUCUUUUACAACCCAGAACUUAUUGAUCAUUAUGAGUUUUGAUACAUAUAAGCAGGAAUAGG
ensembl:snoRNA